rnacentral:ncRNA from 1 species
UAUCGGGAGAGACUGCCGGCGUGAUCGCCGCAGCGCCGAAGGAGCAACCGCCCCGGAAACUCUCAGGCAAAAGGACCGUUA